ACGGAGGGUGCAAGCGUUAUCCGGAUUCACUGGGUUUAAAGGGUGCGUAGGCGGGUAGGUAAGUCAGUGGUGAAAUCUCCGAGCUUAACUCGGAAACUGCCAUUGAUACUAUCUAUCUUGAAUGUUCUGGAGGUGAGCGGAAUAUGUCAUGUAGCGGUGAAAUGCUUAGAUAUGACAUAGAACACCAAUUGCGUAGGCAGCUCACUACGGAAAUAUUGACGCUGAGGCACGAAAGCGUGAGGAUCAAACAGGA
rnacentral:rRNA from 1 species